rnacentral:rRNA from 1 species
AUUGAACGCUGGCGGCAGGCCUAACACAUGCAAGUCGAGCGGAUGAAGGGAGCUUGCUCCUGGAUCAGCGGCGGACGGGUGAGUAAUGCCUAGGAAUCUGCCUGGUAGUGGGGGAUAACGUCCGGAAACGGGCGCUAAUACCGCAUACGUCCUGAGGGAGAAAGUGGGGGAUCUUCGGACCCCACGCUAUCAGAUGAGCCUAGGUCGGAUUAGCUAGUUGGUGGGGUAAAGGCCUACCAAGGCGACGAUCCGUAACUGGUCUGAGAGGAUGAUCAGUCACACUGGAACUGAGACACGGUCCAGACUCCUACGGGAGGCAGCAGUGGGGAAUAUUGGACAAUGGGCGAAAGCCUGAUCCAGCCAUGCCGCGUGUGUGAAGAAGGUCUUCGGAUUGUAAAGCACUUUAAGUUGGGAGGAAGGGCAGUAAGUUAAUACCUUGCUGUUUUGACGUUACCAACAGAAUAAGCACCGGCUAACUUCGUG